CUCUUGACCAACUCCAUAGUUCAAGAACUGAGUUACCGGCAUCUUUGAAACAGUCCUUCAAGGCUCCUCCAUCUUCCCUAAAAUGCAUCAAGAAUCUCAGAACUCCACUCCUCUAGGCCUUCUAAAUGGAGAAAUGAGUCUGGUGGGGAGGCAAACAAAGGUGAUGUGGCACUUCCAGAAUGCACCUGUCCUCUUCUAAAAACAAGAAUGAUGGUCUUAGGUUUUGGCCCAACGAUGUUACGAAGAGAAUGGUAACUUCUGAACAAAAGUGAAAAUGUUGGCUGAGGCACCCUUGCUGCUCAUCUGGUGAAAGAAUGCAAGUAUAAAGGGUUGCCAGGAAACGGUCUUUGCCUGAAGAUGAGACAACUGGUGGUGGUGGUGGUUCAGCCCCCCCUUGCAAGUGCACUACUGUUCAUGGGGUCAUCCAAGGGAUGGCAGAGACAACUAGGGCCAGACGAAGCUUGCUUUCACCCUAGAAGAGAAGAUCUCUCAGAGUUGGAGAUGGCAAUUUCCAGUCCUAAGAAAUGGAUUCUAACCUGUAGAUCCUACCCGCUCUCGAGGACUCUUGAAGUGCCCUGGUUCUGGCAGUGGGAAGAAGACCCUGUCCACACUAGUCCCCCUCAGUUGCACAGGGGGGGACCCCAGACAAACAAAACCUGA
rnacentral:lncRNA from 1 species